rnacentral:rRNA from 1 species
GAUGAACGCUGGCGGCGUGCCUAAUACAUGCAAGUCGAGCGAACGGACGAGAAGCUUGCUUCUCUGAUGUUAGCGGCGGACGGGUGAGUAACACGUGGAUAACCUACCUAUAAGACUGGGAUAACUUCGGGAAACCGGAGCUAAUACCGGAUGAUAUUUUGAACCGCAUGGUUCAAAAGUGAAAGACGGUCUUGCUGUCACUUAUAGAUGGAUCCGCGCUGCAUUAGCUAGUUGGUAAGGUAACGGCUUACCAAGGCAACGAUGCAUAGCCGACCUGAGAGGGUGAUCGGCCACACUGGAACUGAGACACGGUCCAGACUCCUACGGGAGGCAGCAGUAGGGAAUCUUCCGCAAUGGGCGAAAGCCUGACGGAGCAACGCCGCGUGAGUGAUGAAGGUCUUCGGAUCGUAAAACUCUGUUAUUAGUGAAGAACAUAUGUGUAAGUAACUGUGCACAUCUUGACGGUACCUAAUCAGAAAGCCCCGGCUAACUACGUG